GUGUAAGUCCCGUGAGGGAUUCAGCUGACCGGUACUAAUAGGUCGAGGGCUUGACCUG
rnacentral:rRNA from 1 species